UACGGGGGGGGCAAGCGUUGUUCGGAAUUACUGGGCGUAAAGGGCUCGUAGGCGGCCAACUAAGUCGGACGUGAAAUCCCUCGGCUUAACCGGGGAACUGCGUCCGAUACUGGAUGGCUUGAGAUUGGGAGAGGGAUGCGGAAUUCCAGGUGUAGCGGUGAAAUGCUUAGAUAUUACAUGGAAUACCAAUUGCGAAGGCAGGUUGCUACCAGUACAUUGACGCUGAUGGACGAAAGCGUGGGGAGCGAACAGG
rnacentral:rRNA from 1 species